UUGAAAUAAUAUAAAUAUUGAAGGAUUUGUAUUGUAUAUAUGCUUAUUAGUGUUAAUUGGUAUUAUCUUUGCAGACAUGACAAUAAGUAGCAGAGGUGUCAUGAGUCGGUCUCGUGGUCGUGGUAGAGGGAGGGUUUCCAUCGGUACCCCAGGGACUUCUCAGUCAUCGCCCUCUACCCUGACUACCCCGUCGACCCUUGUGACGUCACAGGCAGGUUGUCUACCAGACUAGUAGUUCAUUAUAGUCCUGAACCCCAACUAUGUGCCUCCUUCUGCUAUGCUCCCCUCCAACUCUAACGACAGAGACCGCGGUGGGUGAUUCCUCUAAUGCGUCCCAGCUAGAUGCCCCUCCACCACCACCCGUCAUACAGAUGAGGAUUUGACCUGAUGACAUGUAGGCGUUUGCACCAAACAACAAUGCAUAUACACAGGAGAUCUCCAAUGUGAUUAAGUCCAUGUACGACAACCCAUGACCGAGCUCCAUGAAGAUCCCUAAUGAGACUAGAGAGCGAUGGUUUCAGAAGAGAAAUUUAUAUGGGAUAGGGAACAUGAUAUCUUGAUUAGGAAGAUCUACGACCACCGGAUAGCUAGGCAACUUUAGCAGAUGAUGCAAGAAGUU